rnacentral:tRNA from 1 species
AGUAAAAUGCCUGAAUAAAGGCUUAUCAUGAUAGGAUAAAUAAUGUAAUUUUAUUACUUUUACUA